UACGGAGGGGGCUAGCGUUGUUCGGAAUUACUGGGCGUAAAGCGCACGUAGGCGGCUUUGUAAGUUAGAGGUGAAAGCCCAGGGCUUAACCCUGGAAUUGCCUUUAAGACUGCAUCGCUAGAAUCGUGGAGAGGUAAGUGGAAUUCCGAGUGUAGAGGUGAAAUUCGUAGAUAUUCGGAAGAAACACCAGUGGCGAAGGCGACUUACUGGACACGUAUUGACGCUGAGGUGGCGAAAGCGUGGGGAGCAAACAGG
rnacentral:rRNA from 1 species